AAAAAAAUAUCAGAAUGCAUUAAUUUAAAUAAAUAAAUAAAUAAUUUUUUUAGAUAAUAUAAUAAAAAAUAAAAGCAAGAACCAUAUUUAGCCGGGUACAGCCUUGAGUAUUAGUUCUUACUUGUUAGGUUUUAAAAUCAACACCGUCUAUUUUAGUAUCUGUAAUCACAACAUAUUGAUAUCCAAUAGGAUAAUAGUAUGGUUUCCAUAUUUGCCUUGCAAGUGAAUGUUAGCAUAACACUAAGCAUGGAUUCCUCGUCGACGUAAAAACCUCUAAUUCUUCCCUUCCUUGGGGCCCAUACCAAAACGCCCAAACUGUUGUUUGUGGUCCUCGCCUUUAAAUCCUUACAUGAGUUAAAGAACUAACAUGACCUCUCCUUUUUAAAAUUUUUCCUCUGUUUUGACAGUGAAAGCAACAAGAAAGAGGAUGACUAGUCAGGGAAACGCGGACAGUGGCGGUCGAGACACUCGCCAAGGUGGAGCGGGUCAGGCGUUCCGUUCUCCAGCUUUCAGGAAAGGGCCAAUAGCACCGCCGAGGAGAGGAAAUGUGAUGAGGAAGAUUUGGGCUGAUUUUUUUGAACCGAAUGAACAAGCAGUAGCAAAAGAAAAGAGCAUGAAUAGUCAGGGAAACGCUGGCACUGGGAAUGUAGACGGCCGCCGUGGUGGAGUCGGUCAGGCAGUGAGGCCAAUAGGACCACCCAGGAGAGGAAAUGUGAUGAUGAAGAUUUUGGCUGAUUUGUUCCCUACUUUCUCCUCCAACUCCGCCGCUUCUUGAUUAGUUACACCGCAUAUUUGUGUAUGCUACAUGAUUAUUAGCUUAGUGAGAUUCUGAUUCAUAUAUGUGGCGGUAACAUGAACUGAUUCAUGUAUAGCCGCGUUGUUCUAUAUUUUGGCUAUAUUACUUGCAAAAAUACUAAAAUAUUUCUUCAAAAGCAAAAGAAAGUUCAUCAACUGUUUCUUUUCUUCAUUUUUUUUCCUCUGGCUUGACGUAGAUCUUGGAGGAACCCAAAUAUCCCCAUUUUUUUUCUCUUCUUUGUCUCCAACAGAGUAAAAACUAAAGAAGCAAAAAAUAUUUCUAUGCUUUCGUGGGGCUUUUCUGGAACGCAAAGAAAGUUCUCUUGGGAGGUUAAUGGGACCAGGAAAAUUUCUCCAUAAGUGGCCGAGUCAGGGUUUAGUGUUAGGUGGCUGAAAAAGAUGCUUUUGUGCUAGAAGAGCGGGGGCAGUCCUGGAAAAAAAAAAUCAGAUACGAAUUCUGUAAAGACCAUGAAAAGCUGUUACUCAAAUAAGCCACUUUUAACAUAAAAAAAAAAAAAAAAAUUAAAAUCACUGUUUCCUCACCUGUAAGGACCAUGCUCUGGCCAGUGGAUUUCUUAAAGCUAGGGCACUUUUAUGCAAAGACAAAUUGGAACCAGAAGACAAAAUUGACAAUUUCAUGAUAAAUUAACAAAAGUUUAGAUUAAAUCUGAUUGAGAGGAUAAGGUGAGCCCGCGCCAAGACUUUUU
rnacentral:lncRNA from 1 species